UCUACAUCAAAUUGGUAUCAGAGCAAACUUGGGAAAACAGUUAGGCGUUCACUGCGUGGUUCAAAUCAGUUCUGUAGAAUCUAGUUAACACCUUCAUCAUCUUUGCAUGUGUUCCGGUGCUCAAAAUCAAUUUCGGCAUACUCCAGUUAACAUCCUCACCGUCUCUGCAUAUAUUCCCGGUCCACUGCAACUUCACAAACUCAACGUCCACUGCAAACUUCACAAACUCAACCACCCAAACCCAACCCGACCCUCGCCACUGCGAACAAUCACUACCUCAGAAAAUUUCGGCUGCCCAAUACUCAUUAAACCAUAAUAACCCUCCGCACGGCCGAAGACUGUCCACGCAACCGCCACCCAAAAUACUCGUUGCCCUCCAAUAACCCACCACCGUCCACCUCCGACCAACCCAAUUCCACAAAAUUGACAGUUAGCACCAGCAAUACAGUACGCACGACCCGCCGACUGUGCCUAGAUCGGUGACCCAGGCAAUUAACAUCCAUCGAGCUGCGUUGGUAGUGCAGUCUUCCAAAUCGCGCCCAGUUUUUUUUCCCUUCGUGCGUGUGCUGGCCUCUGUUUAUCAAUUUACAGUGGAUCAGGUUAGUGGGUAGGGUAUUAACAUUGGGCUAUGUUUUAGUUGGGUAAAGUGUUAAAGUUGGGCCAUGUGUUAUUAUGCAGUAUAUGUAUUGGGCCUCUACUAGAAUUUGGGCCGUGAAUUGUAACCGGUUUACUUACUUGAUUUUGUAAAAAAAAAAAAAAGACAAA
rnacentral:lncRNA from 1 species